rnacentral:rRNA from 1 species
UACGUAGGGAGCAAGCGUUGUCCGGAAUCAUUGGGCGUAAAGCGCGCGUAGGCGGCCCUGUAAGCCCGUUGUGAAAGUCAAAGGCUCAACCUUUGAAAGCCGAUGGAUACUGCAGGGCUAGAGUCCGGAAGAGGCGAGUGGAAUUCCUGGUGUAGCGGUGGAAUGCGCAGAUAUCAGGAGGAACACCAAUAGCGAAGGCAGCUCGCUGGGACGGUACUGACGCUAAGGCGCGAAAGCGUGGGGAGCGAACAGG